AAUGAGGGCAGGAGAGUAGAGUAGGGUGAGGAGACGACAGAAGGUUAAGGAGAUGUUCCAGGCACGGUCAGCUGCUGUGGUGUUUCAUCUGCUUGGUGGACUGAUAAAAAGUCAUUUUAAUUUUAAUAUAAAUAAAAAAAAAACUGUUUUGAAUUAUAUUUGAAACAGAGUUUAGGAAUCAGUAAACAUCAUAAUACUGCCUCAGAGAAUAGAAUGAGAGAAGGCUCAGACCUGAGCCAAACCAUGCCAUGUUUAGGAAACUGAAAAUGAGUUCUGUAUGACUGAAGGGGAGAGAGUAGAAAUAAAUGUUUCUCCACCUAAAGCAGUCGCAAGGCCAGAUUUCUGAGGACCUGGGAAGCCAAAGAAUUGAAAGCAGGAUAUCUGUCAGAUAUAUGAGUUCCUUGAGAGUAGAUACUACACCUUCACAUCUCAACAUUGGAACAUACUAUCUGACACAUACUAGGCACUAAAUGAUAAUUUAAUAAAAUUGCUAUAUUAAUGAGAACAAUAGUAAUCAUGAUAAAUAAUAAAAAUAAAUUAUUACAAUGAUUAAUAACACAUUUUGAGUGAGUGCAAAGUAUACUGUGCUAAGACCUUUUUAUGGAUCAAUACUGGGUUAUCUUAUUUU
rnacentral:lncRNA from 1 species